CCCUUAGAUGUCCCGGGCCGCACGCGCGUUACACUGAUGCAUUCAACGAGCUUAUAACCUUGGCCGAGAGGCCUGGGCAAUCUUGUUAACGUGCAUCGUGAUAGGGAUAGAUUAUUGAAAUUAUUAAUCUUGAACGAGGAAUUCCUAGUAAACGCAGAUCAUCAAUCUGCAUUGAUUACGUCCCUGCCCUUUGUACACACCGCCCGUCGCACCUACCGAUUGGAUGGUCCGGUGAAGCCUCGGGAUUGUGGUUCUUGCCGCUUUAUUGUGGCGUGACCGCGAGAACUUGUCUAAACCUUAUCAUCUAGAGGAAGGUGAAGUCGUAACA
rnacentral:rRNA from 1 species